UCCCCCUUGAUCAUCCAUCUUGUAUUACGUGGUGCCUCGUUAAAAACUUAGUCAUGGAAAACCCAAUGGGAAAAACCGAAGUAAAAGUAAAAAGAGUACAACUAUGUAAGCUCCCCCUCGAAUGAGUAGUCAUAGAACCUUUAGAACAAUGAUAGAUUUUCAUCUCUCAAAUUGUAACAUUCUCUUUGAGUGUCUAUCUUUUGUAUG
rnacentral:lncRNA from 1 species